ACUAAAGAUCAGGUAUGUUAUGAAAGUGAAGAAAACGACUGCCUCUUUUGCUCUCUGUAUGUUUCAGGUCUUCAUGGAGUUCAGCAGGAUUGUGAGCAAGAACCUCAAGCAUGAAUUCUAUGAGAGCAUCGACCGGCACAGUCCUCGGCUCCUUGAGUUAUUUCGAUCCAAGAGAGGGAAUGUUGGACAGCUGUUGACACAGAUUUCACAACAGACAAAUACAACAGACCCAACUGCGAUCCGGACACAUGUGCUCAGAGGGCUUCCAAUCAUCCUGGGGGACAACCCCACAAACUUCUUCAAAGCAGGCUUUGAGUCUGAUGAUGAGUCAUUCCGUGACCUUGACAUCGGGAUACUACUCUUUG